rnacentral:misc_RNA from 1 species
CUGUUUAUUGGGUUUGUUCCAUUUUGCUAGUCGUUGAAUUUUUGUCAAUCGGGUUCUGUUGAUGAGAAGCUGGUUUGUCAGUGCCGAGAAAAGUGGAUUUUCUUGGUGGAUUCUUGUCGCACAAUGAAUUUGCGUAGAAAGUGCGUGCUUCUAGAGGAAUUGAGGAAUUGUACCUGAAGAAUUGGAGAGGAGUGCCGUUGAAUUUGGAGAACAAUCUUUGAAACGAAUCGAAGUGUAAUUGGAUUAAGCCACAAAUCAAUCCUCAUGAUCUAGAACCAACAAGCACCUACUUAAAAAAUGCCAUGCAAAUGGCUCCGAUGGACAAAACAACACCCAUUCUCCUAAAGGAAGUGUACAGAGGCAGAAGAUCAAUGCAAAACCAGCAAGAGGUAGUGGUGACAACACUUUUUGGCGUCCUAAUUGCGCCUUAUGUCAACCAUAGGAUAUCGGCCCCCCAAUGAAGCACUACCACUAGAUUUCCACUCCCUCACAUCAUCAAUCAAAGAUGCUCAGGCGAAAGAUUUACAAGUUCCUCAUAAAUCCCCCAACAAGAACCAAGAAAAAUGACAUAAAUAGAACCAAAAGUGGAUUUCUCUAACCCUCUCCAUCAAGGCCAUAUAUGCAGAAAACAACACAUAAAACUUAAAUCCAACCCGAGGCGAGGAGUGCAACUCACAAUCGGGUUGGGGAGGAAGCCCUCCCAUGCCCAUAAGGGGCAGGGGAGGUCGCAAUUGUUGGCAAUAAAGGGCAAAG